AGCUACAGCCAUGCCACCCUGAACACGCCCGAUCCCGUCUGAUCUCGGAAGCUAAGCAGGGUCGGGCCUGGUUAGAACUUGGAUGGGAGACCACAUAGGAAGACCAGCUGCUGUAGGCG
rnacentral:rRNA from 1 species